rnacentral:sRNA from 1 species
UCGAUUAAUCGAUUAGCUGGAAGUCGACUUUGGGAUCCCUAAUUUUGGAUGUACUGACUUUUUCAUUUCACUUGGAUUGUAAAUUUUACUUAAAGGUGUCUUUGGAAUUUAAUUUCGUGUCGUUGUGAUUUUCGUCGCAGUAAAUUACUACAAAGGACUUCAAGACAUCUAUUUAUUAAUUAUACAUAUACACUUGAUAUUGUCGUAAAUUCCUUAGCAUAUUAUUACAGAUAAUCCUCUUAUAAAUCCAUUUUGAAAUACAUAAUCUAUUUAUUUUUUAAUUCCACGAAAUAUCCGAGAUAACAAUCCCGAGAAUUGUCACGUAAAUACAUAUAAACAUACAUACGUACGUAGUAGAUCCGAUCAUCAAUUUUGUUUCGUUCGUAUUAAGAGUCAGUCGAGUCGCCGGAGAAAGUGUCAAAGAUUUGAACGCGAUUUCUUGUCAACUGAAUUUGUUGCUCUUGUACUAUCUAGAAAAUUUCUUGUGUAAUUGAAAACUAAAUAAGAAAAAAAGAGCUUUUCUCUAAGUGUAAUUGUGUUUUUGUUUAGAAAAAUAACUACAGCGGCGGCAUUGCGUGCAUUGAGCAGCAGUGCGCCUCGGGACUUUCCGAAAAGCCUAAUACAAAAGGACAAUAUCUCAAAAGAAUAAAGUGAACGUGCUAGCAAUACUUGAAAGAGUUGCAGCAGCUAGAGAAGAAGAA